rnacentral:rRNA from 1 species
CAGCCGUAAACUGUGCGCGUUAGGUGUAUCGGUGACCACGAGUCACCGAGGUGCCGAAGGGAAACCGUGAAACGUGCCGCCUGGGAAGUACGGUCGCAAGGCUGAAACUUAAAGGAAUUGGCGGGGAGCACCACAACGGGUGGAGCCUGCGGUUUAAUUGGACUCAACGCCGGGAAGCUCACCGGAUAAGACAGCGGAAUGAUUGCCGGGCUGAAGACUCUGCAUGACUAGCUGAGAGGAGGUGCAUGGCGUAGACGUCU